CCGAAUCUAAUAUCUUGAUCACAGGAGGGAGAAAGAGCAAAAAGCUCUAGAACCCUUCUCCCUCAAUCGCACAAUCUACAAUCUCCUCUUUGCCACUCUCUGACUACUAACCGAUAGGCACGAGGCGGCGAUGAACUCCUCUUGCGACUGUGGUCCCAUUUCUAGCUUUCCAUUCGUCAAUUGAAGCUUAUCUUGUCCGAAUCCAAGUCAUCUCCUCCAAUAACUUUUUUUGAUUUUCCAAAAAAAAGCACCAUUUUCUGGCCACUUUAAGUCUGAAUACAGGAUGGCAAUGGCAAGGUGGUGGAGAUAGAAAUGAAGAGUGGAGUCCGGGGCCUGAGGAGGUGGAGAUGAAGGGUGGAGAGUCCAUUCCUUAAAGCUUUGAGCUCCAUCAUUGAAUUCUUUUUUUUUUCUUUGUAUUUUUGGGUUACUGAUAAACUUGAGUAUUAAGGAGGAGGAAAAUGGAGAAUUUACUGGAU